GAGUCCCGCUCCUUGAAAAUAUUUACAGACGAACGAAGCUCCUCUCUCCUUGUGAGGACAGCUGCUUCCAGGAUGAGAUUCUGGAGGGCAGCCAGCCCCCACAGUGCUGAGGCCAGGCGAAUGUGUGGAGAACAGAUGACAGAAGGCUACUGAAUCCGAUGGUAUUGGAUGAACUGAGGGCAAACUCUACGGACAGACUGGGUCAAAAUGUGGAAAAGGCACAGAAUUUCAAACCAGACCACAACAGCUAUAAAAGUCUGGGGAAAUUUUUGCAGAACACAUAAACAUGUGGAGUCUAGUGUUUCAAGAUAAGGUGGUAGAUCACAAGCAAACUAACCUGGAGUUCAGAGGGAAAGAGAACAAAGCUAUAUUUAACAACAGACUCAGAUAAGGCCAGGCUACAUAUUUAUUCUGCCUAGAGACUACUUUUGGCAAUGUCUUAUUUGCUGUGUCCAAAAUAAGUAAUAUCACGAAUAACUGGUACUUCAAAAUGAAGGAUGUGAUUUUGUAUUUUAUACUAAAAAAGCAUGACUUUGAACAUGCACUUAUCCUAUUAUGUAACCGAACAGUGUGAGGAAAAGAACAUACCUAAUAUAAAAGAUGAAACCUCUGCCCCUGAGAAGACCAAAUUCUAAAAAUGACUUAAUCGGUCAACUGUGACAAAAGCAAAGCUUUGAGCAUCCCAGUGUACCUGGAGUGGGCCUCCUCAUUCAUGGAUUGUGACUGUGUGAUGCACCAUGUGACUGAGGGCGGGCUUGCUGGCUUGCUAGAAUUAUUAAUUUCUCCAAUAGAAAAAUUGGUUGAUAUUAUUUGUAAGUGAUUUUCUUCUCAUUUCUCCAAAGGAACAAUGAAGGAGUGGCAAGGCUGGAGUUCUAAAGCUUUCAUCCUUCAAACGGCUACAUGCUCCCGUUGCCAACAGAGGUUUUGCUACAUCUGGGAAGAGGUCACUUUUUGAAAUUCUGUAUGCAAUUUUGAGAAAAAGAAUGAUAUUCCUUUUCUCACUCUCCUAAAAAAAAUACAGAAGUUAUUUUCUCCCUUGCCAAAAAAAGAAGAAGAAAACCAAAAAGAGAAAUCAGUUUGAGAUUUGAUUGCACAGACAAGAACAGAGGCCUUGCCAGACCAUGGCAGAUGACUCAGGAAGCCUUUAAUCUUGGCUCCAACCUGGUCUCUGCCUAAGGGUUCAGAAAAAGGGCUGCGCCAUGGAGUAUUCUGGUCUGUAAAAGAAAAAAGACUUUUUAAGAGUCUUCUGGAACUCGGUCUGCUUAAUAAGUCAACAUUUAUUUUUUAAUUUUUAUUAUUUUCUCAGGCAUUUCAUCCUGAUGUAGUUUCCUCUCCCCUCCUCCACUCUCUCCUCCAUCUUCAUCCUUCCCCCGAGAUCCUGCUUUUCCACCUCUUCUCAGACAAGAGCAGACCUUCCAGGGAUGUCAACCAAACAUGAUUUCAUGAGCUACAAAUUAUACCAGGCCCAUCCUAUCAAUCAAUCAAGGCUGGAUGUGGCGACCAAGUAGAAGGAAAACUAUUCCAAAAGCAGCCAAAAGAGUAUCACCUUUUCCAGAAUCAAGGAAGAGAGGAAAGAAGGGAAGAAAGAUGGGAGGGAGAAGGAAGGAAACACAGAAAUUUAAAUUGUUGCAACGACAAUUUACAAGCCAGUGGUGAAGCUCAUCCUUGAGGAUCCAAAAGGGUCAUAUGUUCUGGUCGGUUUUGUUAUCUAUGUUG